UACGAAGGGGGCGAGCGUUAUUCGGAAUCACUGGGCGUAAAGCGUGCGUAGGCUGUUUGGCAAGUUGGGAGUGAAAUGCCAGGGCUCAACCCUGGAACUGCUUUCAAAACUGCCAGACUCGAAUCCGGGAGAGGAUAGCGGAAUUUCCAGUGUAGUAGUGAAAUACGUAGAUAUUGGAAGGAACACCAGUGGCGUAAGCGGCUAUCUGGACCGGCAUUGACGCUGAGGCACGAAAGCGUGGGGAGCAAACAGG
rnacentral:rRNA from 1 species